rnacentral:rRNA from 1 species
AUGGGGGACUUUGAUGGUGAGCAAAAAGAAUUGAUCAAGAAAUUGGUAAACUUUCGCAUGAUCGAUGGUAAAAGAACGGGAGUUCGUGCUAUUGUUUAUAAAACUUUUCACCGCCUAGCUCGAACUGAACGCAAUGUAAUAAAACUUAUGGUUGACGCCGUAGAUAAUAUAAAACCAAUAUGUGAAGUGGUCAAAGUAGGAGUCGCAGGUACUAUUUAUGAUGUUCCUGGGAUUGUAGCCAGGGAUCGUCAUAAAACCUUAGCUAUUCGUUGGAUCCUUGGAGCAGCUUUCAAACGACGUAUAAGCUACAUGAUAAUCUUAGAGAAAUGUUAA